AGAGAUAGGGCGUGNUCCUGCGGGAACGCAUGACAGGUGGUGCAUGGUCGUCGUCAGCUCGUGUCGUGAGAUGUUGGGUUAAGUCCCGCAACGAGCGCAACCCUUGUUACUAGUUGCCAGCAUUAAGUUGGGCACUCUAGUGAGACUGCCGGUGACAAACCGGAGGAAGGUGGGGACGACGUCAGAUCAUCAUGCCCCUUAUGACCUGGGCUACACACGUGCUACAAUGGACGGUACAACGAGUCGCGAACUCGCGAGGGCAAGCAAAUCUCUUAAAACCGUUCUCAGUUCGGACUGCAGGCUGCAACUCGCCUGCACGAAGUCGGAAUCGCUAGUAAUCGCGGAUCAGCAUGCCGCGGUGAAUACGUUCCCGGGUCUUGUACACAC
rnacentral:rRNA from 2 species